rnacentral:rRNA from 1 species
AUUGAACGCUGGCGGCAUGCCUUACACAUGCAAGUCGAACGGUAACAGGUCUUCGGAUGCUGACGAGUGGCGAACGGGUGAGUAAUACAUCGGAACGUGCCUAGUAGUGGGGGAUAACUACUCGAAAGAGUGGCUAAUACCGCAUGAGAUCUACGGAUGAAACCAGGGGAUCGCAAGACCUUGUGCUACUAGAGCGGACGAUGUCAGAUUAGGUAGUUGGUGGGAUAAAAGCUUACCAAGCCGACGAUCUGUAGCUGGUCUGAGAGGACGAUCGGCCACACUGGGACUGAGACACGGCCCAGACUCCUACGGGAGGCAGCAGUGGGGAAUUUUGGACAAUGGGCGCAAGCCUGGUCCAGCAAUGCCGCGUGCAGGAUGAAGGCCUUCGGGUUGUAAACUGCUUUUGUACGGAACGAAAAGCCCUGGGUUAAUACCCUGGGGUCAUGACGGUACCGUAAGAAUAAGCACCGGCUAACUACGUGCCAGCCGCCGCCGUAACAC